UGGCGAACCUGACGCUAAACCAUUCGUAGACGACCUCCUUCUGGGUCGGGGUUUCCUAUGUAGCAGAGCAGCUCCCUCACUGCGAUCUAUUGAAAGUCAGCCCUCAACACAAAGGUUUCUCUCUCUCUCUCUCUCUCUC